rnacentral:rRNA from 1 species
AACUUAAGCAUAUCAAUAAGCGGAGGNAAAGAAACCAACAGGGAUUGCCUUAGUAACGGCGAGUGAAGCGGCAAUAGCUCAAAUUUGAAAGCUGGCGUCUUCGACGUCCGCGUUGUAAUUUGUAGAGGAUGCUUCGGCGAAGACUCCUGCCUAAGUCCCCUGGAACGGGGCGUCAUAGAGGGUGAGAAUCCCGUAUGUGGCGGGCAGUCUAAGCCAUGUGAAGCUCCUUCGACGAGUCGAGUUGUUUGGGAAUGCAGCUCUAAAUGGGAGGUAAAUUUCUUCUAAAGCUAAAUAUUGGCCAGAGACCGAUAGCGCACAAGUAGAGUGAUCGAAAGAUGAAAAGCACUUUGGAAAGAGAGUUAAAAAGUACGUGAAAUUGUUGAAAGGGAAGCGCUUGCAACCAGACUCGCUCGUAGUUGCUCAGCCGGCCUCUUGGCCGGUGUACUCUUCUACGAUCGGGCCAGCAUCAGUUCGGGCGGCAGGAUAAAGGUGUCGGGAAUGUAGCACCCUUCGGGGUGUGUUAUAGCCCGGCGCGGAAUGCUGCCAGCCUGGACUGAGGAUCUCGCUUCGGCAAGGAUGCUGGCGUAAUGGUUGUAAGCGGCCCGUCUUGAAACACGGACCAAGGAGUCUAACAUCUAUGCGAGUGUUUGGGUGUCAAACCCAUGCGCGUAAUGAAAGUGAACGGAGGUGGGAACCCCUCACGGGGUGCACCAUCGACCGAUCCUGAUGUCUUCGGAUGGAUUUGAGUAAGAGCAUAGCUGUUGGGACCCGAAAGAUGGUGAACUAUGCCUGAAUAGGGUGAAGCCAGAGGAAACUCUGGUGGANGCUCGCAGCGGUUCUGACGUGCAAAUCGAUCGUCAAAUUUGGGUAUAGGGGCGAAAGACUAAUCGAACCAUCUAGUAGCUGGUUCCUGNCGAAGUUCCCCUCAG